rnacentral:lncRNA from 1 species
ACUUAGCUGAUGUUUGAGCUGAAUUGAGUCGAUCUUGAAUUUUGUCUAUUUUUCAUCGAGCCGAUCUCGAGCUUGGGAUAUUAAAGUUCAUUCUAUCUCGAGUCAAAUUUUGAGCUAAAUAUUUUAAAAGCAUCAAAUCAAACUCGAGCUUCCAACUAUUCAACUCAGCUCGGCUCAAUUGCAUCUCUAAUCAUAGGACACUGAAG